CUACAGCAGGACUUGAGAUGACUAACUGCUCUCAAACCUCUGGCAGCAGAUGGCCUACAGAGGAAACUCAUGGAAAUUGGUAUGUCUCCAACCAGGAACAGUGUCAUAAUAUCACCAAAAAGAAUACAGGAAAUUGACAAGUCACCUGUUAUUCAGUGGAGUUCAUCUCAGUAGCCUCAGAAAGAGACAGAGGUAAUCAACUCAAAAAGAUGGACGGAUGGCUGAGGCCCUGGAAACCACAGAUAGCUGCAUCCGAGAAGAAGAAAAGGCACCUACUGCACACGUGAAGGCUGAAGGCGAGAUGAGGACCCCACACCGUGCAGACAUGCUGCACUCUGCAAGUUUGCAGGUGUCGUGAGACAGUUGUCCGUACAACAGCAGUGGCAGCUCUGGUCCUGGACUGCAGCUAUGCAGUUUCCUCCAACUCAGUCCGGUUAC